GGAGAGGUGGCCGAGCGGUUUAAGGCACCGGUCUUGAAAACCGGCGUACUGGCGACAGUACCGUGGGUUCGAAUCCCACCCUCUCCGCCA
rnacentral:tRNA from 1 species